UGCUCCUGAAUUCAGCGGCGGACGGGUGAGUAAUGCCUAGGAAUCUGCCUGGUAGUGGGGGACAACGUUUCGAAAGGAACGCUAAUACCGCAUACGUCCUACGGGAGAAAGCAGGGGACCUUCGGGCCUUGCGCUAUCAGAUGAGCCUAGGUCGGAUUAGCUAGUUGGUGAGGUAAUGGCUCACCAAGGCGACGAUCCGUAACUGGUCUGAGAGGAUGAUCAGUCACACUGGAACUGAGACACGGUCCAGACUCCUACGGGAGGCAGCAGUGGGGAAUAUUGGACAAUGGGCGAAAGCCUGAUCCAGCCAUGCCGCGUGUGUGAAGAAGGUCUUCGGAUUGUAAAGCACUUUAAGUUGGGAGGAAGGGCAGUAAAUUAAUACUUUGCUGUUUUGACGUUACCGACAGAAUAAGCACCGGCUAACUCUGUGCCAGCAGCCGCGGUAAU
rnacentral:rRNA from 1 species